rnacentral:rRNA from 1 species
GACGAACGCUGGCGGCGUGCCUAAUACAUGCAAGUUGAGCGCUGAAGGUUGGUACUUGUACCAACUGGAUGAGCAGCGAACGGGUGAGUAACGCGUGGGUAAUCUGCCUUUGAGCGGGGGACAACAUUUGGAAACGAAUGCUAAUACCGCAUAAAAACUUUAAACACAAGUUUUAAGUUUGAAAGAUGCAAUUGCAUCACUCAAAGAUGAUCCCGCGUUGUAUUAGCUAGUUGGUGAGGUAAAGGCUCACCAAGGCGAUGAUACAUAGCCGACCUGAGAGGGUGAUCGGCCCAAUUGGGACUGAGACACGGCCCAAACUCCUACGGGAGGCAGCAGUAGGGAAUCUUCGGCAAUGGACGAAAGUCUGACCGAGCAACGCCGCGUGAGUGAAGAAGGGUGUCGGAUCGUAAAACUCCGUUGGUAGAGAAGAACGUUGGUGAGAGUGGAAAGCUCAUCAAGUGACGGUAACUACCCAGAAAGGGACGGCUAACUACGUG